GUGGGGAAUAUUGGACAAUGGGCGAAAGCCUGAUCCAGCCAUGCCGCGUUUGUGAAGAAGGUCUUCGGAUUGUAAAGCACUUUAAGUUGGGAGGAAGGGCAGUAAGUUAAUACCUUGCUGUUUUGACGUUACCGACAGAAUAAGCACCGGCUAACUUCGUGCCAGCAGCCGCGGUAAUACGAAGGGUGCAAGCGUUAAUCGGAAUUACUGGGCGUCAAGCGCGCGUAGGUGGUUCAGCAAGUUGGCGGUGAAAUCCCCGGGCUCAACCUGGGAACUGCCUCCAAAACUACUGAGCUAGAGGACGGGAGAGGGUAGUGGAAUUUCCUGUGUAGCGGUGAAAUGCGUAGAUAUAGGAAGGAACACCAGUGGCGAAGGCGACUACCUGGACUGAUACUGACACUGAGGUGCGAAAGCGUGGGGAGCAAACAGGAUUAGAAACCCUAGUAGUCC
rnacentral:rRNA from 1 species